CACGUAGUUAGCCGUGGCUUUCUGAUUAGGUACCGUCAAGAUGUGCACAGUUACUUACACAUUUGUUCUUCCCUAAUAACAGAGUUUUACGAGCCGAAACCCUUCAUCACUCACGCGGCGUUGCUCCGGUCAGGUUUUCGCCCAUUGCGGAAGAUUCCCUACUGCUGCCUCCCGUAGGAGUCUGGACCGUGUCUCAGUUCCAGUGUGGCCGAUCACCCUCUCAGGUCGGCUACGUAUCGUCGCCUUGGUAAGCCGUUACCUUACCAACUAGCUAAUACGGCGCGGGUCCAUCUAUAAGUGAUAGCAAAACCAUCUUUCACUUUAGAACCUAUGCGGUUCUAAAUGUUAUCCGGUUAUUAGCUUCCCGGUUUCCGAGUUAUCCCGAGUCUUAUAGGUAGUUACCCAGUUGUUACUCACCCGUCGCCGUCUAACUCAAAGGU
rnacentral:rRNA from 1 species